GAAAUAUUCAGUUACAAAUUCAUUUUGUUUGCGGGCAGUCGAAACAUUUAAAAUGGGCAGAAUAAAAUUUAACGGAGUUUUCUUACUGAUGGUCCUUCAAAUAUUCUUGGUGGCUACAACAACUGGAGAUAAAACGUGUGAAUCAGACCGAAAAAUGGAAGAACAGUGCCGGAUUCAUACCUUUAAAACUGUAAAACCCUUGCUCGAUUAUUUCAGGCAGGUUAGAAAUGAGUUAGAACAAAGUGAAACUAAGGAAAAGCAGAUAAGUGAAUUAAAUUCUGAUCUUAUGGAAAAAUAUCAUGAAAUUGUGAGAAUUCAUGAAACAUUCAUAAAGGAAUCAGAUCUAUUAAAUGAGUAUAAAAACAAAGUAAUUAAAGGGGGAAAACGAUUUGCAAUUGUGUCAAAAUAAAGUUGAUAAAUCUGAAUCUGAAAUUAAUUCACAACAAAAUAUUAUUCUUAAAUUAAAAGAACAACUAACAGAUAAAUCCACCAACUUAGAAAAUUGUCAAGUUCAAUUAAAAUAUGUUAAUUCUAUAUUAAUUGAAAAAGAUGCAAAUAUAAAGAGAUUAAGUGAGAAUAUGAAGAGUAACAAAGAACAUCAGAAAUCACUUGAGAUAAAAUUAGAGAAGAGUAAAUCUAUAUUAAUAAAGCAUGAAAAUGAUAUUCAGUUAUGUCGUUCAGAAAUCAACAAAUUAAAUAGGACAUCAGAGAACAUUAGAGAAGAACAGAAAAAAGAUUCAAUUGAAAUUAAAAGAAAGUGAAACUAAGCUAAUAGAUAAAGUAAAGGAAAAUCAGUUAUGUCAAUCUGAACUUGAUAUAUUAAGUCCCACAACAUUGUUUUGUGCGAUAGUCAGUUAGCUGGACCUGGAUGGAUUGUAAUACAACAACUAGUUGGGGGAAGUGAGAGUUUCAAUAGGGAUUGGGCAACGUAUCGCAAAGGUUUCGGUUCUUUUGAAAGUGAUUUCUUUCUUGGAUUAGAGAAAAUUCAUCGUAUCACGAGCUUGCAGCGUAUCGAACUUUACAUACAUUUGGUUGCUGAGAAUGGAAGUGCCUACAACGUUCGUUAUGACGACUUCAAAAUAUCUGAUGAAGAUAAUGGAUAUGCACUGAGUUUGGGUAAAUCCAAUGGAACGCUUAUUGAGGAUGGCAUGAGAGACACUGAAAACAUGAAAUUCUCAACAUUCGAUCAGGACAACGACAAAGAUGAUGAUAAUAAUUGCGCAGUCUGGAAUGAAAGUGGCUGGUGGUACAAUUAUUGUUAUACUUGUCGUUUAAAUGCACCAUAUGGGCCAAAACUAGGAUGGUGGGAAAAGAAUUACAUUAUACUUAAAGAAGUUAAGAUUCUAAUUCGCCCCAAAGAAGAGAUGAAGAAGUGAUAAAUUGAAAAGCUGAAAUUCCCAUAUUUGACUCAAUUAUGAAUUUUUAUAUUUUUGUACAUAAUUUAUGCGACUUUAUUUUCGGUCGAAUGCCUGCGGCUGCUGACUGACCCUGAAGUCUCUCUACAAUCUACAAUCUACAAUCGCAACGCGAUAACAAUGCGCAUAAUUUACGCCCAAGCGAAUUUCGCUAACGCAAUGCUAACGUGUCUUUGUUUAAUUAGCCAAGUUCGCUGGCAUGCAGAAAUAACUUGAAAGCUCGCUUUGAUUAUCCAUCAGGCAUAAAGUUGCGCAAAUUGCCCAAUUACCAAAAUCGAUUUCACUCAUACUGAUGAGAAUGAAAGGUGAAUUGAAUGGGAAAAUGAAAGCAAAGAAUGGAAUGUAAGUGUCUGAGUCAGUCGACUGUCAUUGCUGGGGUAACUGACAGGCGGCAACCAACAACCGACAACCAACAGCCGACAACUGACGCACACAAAUCAACAGGAGAACAGAGUACAAAACUGAGAACAGAGAACUGAGCAUUGAAAGCGAAUUGAACGCGUGGCCAGUUCUUAAAUAAUAAACAUGGCCAGAAUAAACGUUGGAACUGUGGGCGGAGCUUAACGGUUGAACUCCCCCUCAACCAUUUCAUACCUUUCUCGACUAUAUUUUUAUUGUACUCUCGUAUUUAUUUACUGCUCAAACACCAACAGCCACACUGAGCAAAUAUUUAUUAUUUGCUUGGCGCGAUGCAUAUUGUAUAAUGCCACAAACAAAACUUGUACAUAAGAAAACGAACCGCAUCACAAGUGUAUUAAUUAAUAGUAAAACAUCCUCUUAAUUUAACUUGAAAUACAGCAUUCAUAAUGGUAAGAAUCACAGUUCUUAUAGAGUAUUUCUUAUUAUUAAUAAGGUGUUUUUAUUUCACCAUUUAUCAAAUAAAUCCGUAAUUUAUUUGAAAACUUAACUGUGAUGUGCCUGUUAAUUAUAUUGUGCAUUAUAUUUAAAUAAUGGUAGGAAUCU